rnacentral:lncRNA from 1 species
AGUACUAAUUUAUUUUAUAUUUUUUAAAUUUUUAUUAUUUAUUUUUAUUGCAAGUAAAAACUAGGAUCUAAAUAGUAGAUAUUAGUAUUCAAUUUAUUUUUUAUAUUUUUAAUUUUUAUUUUUUGACUUGAAUUGCUUUCUUUAAUUUUUUUUGUAAAAUCAAAGAUUUCAAAUCAAAAUUCUGCUUUCUCUAUGGAUUCGAUCCGACUUGCUAUUUUCUACAUAGUUUUAAUUUUUAUUGAAGUUAAAAUUAGAUUAAUAAUCAUGGUGUCCUAACGACAACAUCACGAUCAUAUCAACUUUUGGCACCGUUAUCGAGGA